AUACCUUUCUCGGCCUUUUGGCUAAGAUCAAGUGUAGUAUCUGUUCUUAUCAGUUUAAUAUCUGAUAUGUGGGUCAUUGGUCCACAUGAUAUUAAAUUAAUUUUUUAAGGGAAAGAGCCAUCACAGUAGCUUGCUACUGGGCUUCUUAUGUGUCGCCCUUGUGUUGCACUAAAGCAUGGGCCUGGCACACCCCUC
rnacentral:snRNA from 1 species